UAUGGCCACAUCACGUUAAAACAGCGAUUCUCGUACGAUCUCCGAAGUUAAGCAAUGUCGAGCUUGGUCGGUACCUAGAUGGGUGACCGCUUGGGAAUACCAGAUACUGUAAG
rnacentral:rRNA from 1 species